AGCGAACGCUGGCGGCAGGCUUAACACAUGCAAGUCGAGCGGGCAUAGCAAUAUGUCAGCGGCAGACGGGUGAGUAACGCGUGGGAACGUACCUUUUGGUUCGGAACAACACAGGGAAACUUGUGCUAAUACCGGAUAAGCCCUUACGGGGAAAGAUUUAUCGCCGAAAGAUCGGCCCGCGUCUGAUUAGCCAGUUGGUGAGGUAAUGGCUCACCAAGGCGACGAUCAGUAGCUGGUCUGAGAGGAUGAUCAGCCACAUUGGGACUGAGACACGGCCCAAACUCCUACGGGAGGCAGCAGUGGGGAAUAUUGGACAAUGGGCGCAAGCCUGAUCCAGCCAUGCCGCGUGAGUGAUGAAGGCCCUAGGGUUGUAAAGCUCUUUUGUGCGGGAAGAUAAUGACGGUACCGCAAGAAUAAGCCCCGGCUAACUUCGUGCCAGCCGCCGCGGUAAGAC
rnacentral:rRNA from 1 species